rnacentral:rRNA from 1 species
AUCUACAGCCAUAUCACCCUGAAUGGUUUCAAUCUUGCCUAAUCUUAGAAGUAGAGUUGAGCCUGGUUACUACUUGGAUGGAAGACUGCCUGGGAAUAUUGGGUGCCAGAGGCU